rnacentral:tRNA from 1 species
GCGGAUGUGGCGAAAUUGGCAGACGCGCCAGACUUAGAAUCUGGUGCCGCAAGGCGUGUGGGUUCAAGUCCCUCCAUCCGCAC